UACGAAGGGGGGCUAGCGUUGUUCGGAUUUACUGGGCGUAAAGCGCACGUAGGCGGAUCGUUAAGUUAGGGGUGAAAUCCUGGAGCUCAACUCCAGAACUGCCUCUAAUACUGGCGAUCUAGAGUCCGGAAGAGGUGAGUGGAACUCCUAGUGUAGAGGUGGAAUUCGUAGAUAUUAGGAAGAACACCAGUGGCGAAGGCGGCUCACUGGUCCGGUACUGACGCUGAGGUGCGAAAGCGUGGGGAGCAAACAGG
rnacentral:rRNA from 1 species